rnacentral:lncRNA from 1 species
GCCUCCCCUGCGCCAUGACCGCACUUCCGGUUCGGCCGGGCGGAAGCGGAAGCCGGGCGAGAAAGAACAGGAAGUCGAGGGGCGGAGGGGAGGGCGAAGGGAUGCGGCAAGGCACGAUGGGAUACAAGGAGGCGGAAGUGGGAGAAGCAAAAGGGGGAGGGCGCGGCUCCUCGGGGGGGAACACCCCGAAUUCCGUCACGAUCCCCCCCGUGAUCAGCUCGUGGGGCGUGACGUCAAAGACGGGGUUCCACACGUCGAAAAAUGGGGGUCAGGGCCCCAUAGGGGACCCCCAGCCCUAUAGGAGACCCCCAGCCCUAUAGGGGAACUCUAGCCCUGUAGGGGACCCCCCCAGCCCUAUAGAGGAGGGGGGGGGGUUAAAAAUGGGGGUCAGGGCCCCAUAGGGGACCCCCAGCCCUAUAGGAGACCCCCAGCCCUAUAGGGGGUCUCUGCGUCCUAUAGAGGGACCCCCUGCCCCAUAGGGGGCACCCUCACCCUAUAAGGGGUCCCCUGCCCUAUAGGAGACCCCCUGCCCCAUACUCAAUCUCCUGCCCCAUAGGAGACCCCCCCGUUCUACAGGGGGUCCCCCGUCCUAUGUGGGGCCUCUUUGCCCUAUAGCGGGACCCCUGCCCCAUAGGGGGCUUCCUCACCCUAUGGAAGGACCCCCACCCUAUAAGGAACCCCCCCAUCCCUGUCCUAUAAUAAGAUGGAGGGAUUCCUUGCCCUAUAGCGGUACCCCUGCCCCACACAGGAUCCCACAGGAGACCCCCCCACCCACUACUGAGCCUCCUUGCCCCAUAGGAACCCCCCCCUCAUCCUUUGAGGAUCUCCUGCCCUAUAGGGAAUCCCCCUUCCCCAUCCUAUGAGGAUCUCCUACCCUAUACGAAACCCCCCCUCCCAUCCUAUAAGGAGCCCCCCCCCCAUUCUAGGAACAUCUCCUACCCUAUAGGAAACCCCCUCUCAUUCUUUGAGGGU